rnacentral:tRNA from 1 species
GCCUGGUGGCUUAGUUGGUUAAGCGUCUGACUCUUGAUUUCAGCUCAGGUUAUGAUCUCAGGUCAUGAUCUCAGGGUUGUGAGAUCAAGCCUCACAUCAGGCU